CGGCCGCGCGCCCUCUCGCGGCACCGGGCGGGUGACACGCCAGUGAACGCGCCUGUGAACGUGCCGUGUCCCUGAGCCGCGCUUGCCGAAGGCGGGUGGCCCCCGGGGAACUUCAUAAGAAGUAGGAUGUCUCUGAGGCAUCUUCCACAUUGUCUCCCAGAGAUCCACGGAAGGAAUGAGCUCCACCUACAAAGCUGACCUACUCAUCAGCCUACUCUUUCAUAGUCCUUUUCUUCCCCGUCUCACUUCCCCACCCUUCUAUCAGUGGUCUCUGGACUCUUCUUUAAAAUAAACCACUUAUACUUAAA